rnacentral:antisense_RNA from 1 species
GUUUAUGGUGGCUGUGCGUGGGACACCUUCGGGUGUGCCGGGUUCAUCUGUCCGGUCGGCUAACCCGCGUACGGCUACCACCCUG